rnacentral:rRNA from 1 species
UGGGGGAUACUGCACAAUGGGCGAAAGCCUGAUGCAGCGACGCCGCGUGGGGGAUGAAGGCUUUCGGGUUGUAAACCUCUUUCGCUAUCGAACAAGGCCCGCUUAGGGUGGGUUGAGGGUAGGUGGAGAAGAAGCGCCGGCUAACUACGUGCCAGCAGCCGCGGUAAUACGUAGGGCGCGAGCGUUGUCCGGAAUUAUUGGGCGUAAAGGGCUUGUAGGCGGCUUGUUGCGCCUGCUGUGAAAACGCGGGGCUUAACUUCGCGCGUGCAGUGGGUACGGGCAGGCUUGAGUGUGGUAGGGGUGACUGGAAUUCCAGGUGUAGCGGUGGAAUGCGCAGAUAUCUGGAGGAACACCGAUGGCGAAGGCAGGUCACUGGGCCAUUACUGACGCUGAGGAGCGAAAGCAUGGGUAGCGAACAGG